GACGAACGCUGGCGGCGUGGAUUAGGCAUGCAAGUCGAACGGUAGGAUACCUUCGGGUAUCUGAGAGUGGCGAACGGGUGAGUAACACGUAGGUGAUCUACCCUCAAGAUUGGGACAACCCAGGGAAACUUGGGCUAAUACCGGAUGAAAGCAGCAGUGAUGUUGUUUGAAAGGUGGCGUAAGCUGCCGUUUGGGGAUGAGCCUGCGCUCUAUUAGUUAGUUGGCGGGGUAAAGGCCCACCAAGGCGAUGAUAGAUAGGCGGCCUUAACGGGUGGUCGCCCACACUGGGAUUGAGAUACGGCCCAGACUCCUACGGGAGGCAGCAGUCGAGAAUAGUCUACAAUGGCCGAAAGGCUGAUAGUGCGACGCCGCGUGAACGAAGAAGCCCUUCGGGGUGUAAAGUUCUUUUAUAUGUGAGCAGUGCUUUCUAUGUGAACAGCAGUGGGGAAGAGAUAUUAGCAUAUGAAUAAGCAACGGCUAACUCCGUGCC
rnacentral:rRNA from 1 species